UGGGAUAUAGCUCAGUGGCAAAGCACUUGCCUAGCAAGUGCAAUGUCCUGGGUUCGAUCCCAGUACCAA
rnacentral:tRNA from 1 species